CCCUUCGGGGACAAAGUGACAGGUGGUGCAUGGUUGUCGUCAGCUCGUGUCGUGAGAUGUUGGGUUAAGUCCCGCAACGAGCGCAACCCUUGAUUUUAGUUGCCAGCAUUUAGUUGGGCACUCUAAAGUGACUGCCGGUGCAAGCCGGAGGAAGGUGGGGAUGACGUCAAAUCAUCAUGCCCCUUAUGACCUGGGCUACACACGUGCUACAAUGGAUAGUACAAAGGGUCGCGA
rnacentral:rRNA from 1 species